AUCCAGACUCCUACGGGAGGCAGCAGUGGGGAAUAUUGGGCAAUGGGCGCAAGCCUGACCCAGCAAUGCCGCGUGAAGGAAGAAGGCUUUCGGGUUGUAAACUUCUUUGACAGGGGAAGAGCAGAAGACGGUACCCUGAAAACAAGCCACGGCUAACUACGUGCCAGCAGCCGCGGUAAUACGUAGGUGGCAAGCGUUAUCCGGAUUUACUGGGUGUAAAGGGAGCGUAGGCGGCAGGGCAAGCCUGAUGUGAAAGCCCGGGGCUCAACCCCGGGACUGCAUUGGGAACUGCCCCGCUCGAGUGCCGGAGGGGCAGGCGGAAUUCCUAGUGUAGCGGUGAAAUGCGUAGAUAUUAGGAGGAACACCAGUGGCGAAGGCGGCCUGCUGGACGGUGUACUGACGCUGAGGCUCGAAAGCGUGGGGAGCAAACAGGAUUAGAUACCCGGGUAAC
rnacentral:rRNA from 1 species